rnacentral:rRNA from 1 species
GACGAACGCUGGCGGCGUGCUUAACACAUGCAAGUCGAACGGAAAGGCCCUGCUUUUGUGGGGUGCUCGAGUGGCGAACGGGUGAGUAACACGUGAGUAACCUGCCCUUGACUUUGGGAUAACUUCAGGAAACUGGGGCUAAUACCGGAUAGGAGCUCCUGCUGCAUGGUGGGGGUUGGAAAGUUUCGGCGGUUGGGGAUGGACUCGCGGCUUAUCAGCUUGUUGGUGGGGUAGUGGCUUACCAAGGCUUUGACGGGUAGCCGGCCUGAGAGGGUGACCGGCCACAUUGGGACUGAGAUACGGCCCAGACUCCUACGGGAGGCAGCAGUGGGGAAUAUUGCACAAUGGGCGGAAGCCUGAUGCAGCAACGCCGCGUGCGGGAUGACGGCCUUCGGGUUGUAAACCGCUUUCGCCUGUGACGAAGCGUGAGUGACGGUAAUGGGUAAAGAAGCACCGGCUAACUACGUGCCAGCAGCCGCGGUGAUACGUAGGGUGCGAGCGUUGUCCGGAUUUAUUGGGCGUAAAGGGCUCGUAGGUGGUUGAUCGCGUCGGAAGUGUAAUCUUGGGGCUUAACCCUGAGCGUGCUUUCGAUACGGGUUGACUUGAGGAAGGUGGGGGAGAAUGGAAUUCCUGGUGGAGCGGUGGAAUGCGCAGAUAUCAGGAGGAACACCAGUGGCGAAGGCGGUUCUCUGGGCCUUUCCUGACGCUGAGGAGCGAAAGCGUGGGGAGCGAACAGGCUUAGAUACCCUGGUAGUCCACGCUGUAAACGGUGGGUACUAGGUGUGGGGUCCAUUUCACGGGUUCCGUGCCGUAGCUAACGCUUUAAGUACCCCGCCUGGGGAGUACGGCCGCAAGGCUAAAACUCAAAGGAAUUGACGGGGCCCCGCACAAGCGGCGGAGCAUGCGGAUUAAUUCGAUGCAACGCGUAGAACCUUACCUGGGUUUGACAUGGAUCGGGAGCGCUCAGAGAUGGGUGUGCCUCUUUUGGGGUCGGUUCACAGGUGGUGCAUGGCUGUCGUCAGCUCGUGUCGUGAGAUGUUGGGUUAAGUCCCGCAACGAGCGCAACCCUUGUUCACUGUUGCCAGCACGUUAUGGUGGGGACUCAGUGGAGACCGCCGGGGUCAACUCGGAGGAAGGUGGGGAUGACGUCAAGUCAUCAUGCCCCUUAUGUCCAGGGCUUCACGCAUGCUACAAUGGCUGGUACAGAGAGUGGCGAGCCUGUGAGGGUGAGCGAAUCUCGGAAAGCCGGUCUCAGUUCGGAUUGGGGUCUGCAACUCGACCUCAUGAAGUCGGAGUCGCUAGUAAUCGCAGAUCAGCAACGCUGCGGUGAAUACGUUCCCGGGGCU